UACAGAGGUCUCAAGCGUUGUUCGGAUUCAUUGGGCGUAAAGGGCGCGUAGGCGGCGGGGUAAGUCGGGUGUGAAAUCUCAGAGCUCAACUCUGAAAUGGCACUUGAUACUGCUCUGCUAGAGGACUGGAGAGGAGAUUGGAAUUCACGGUGUAGAGGUGAAAUUCGUAGAUAUCGGGAGGAACACCAGUGGCGAAGGCGGAGACCUGGGGAGAUAUUGACGCGUGAGGUG
rnacentral:rRNA from 1 species